UACGUAGGGUGCGAGCGUUAAUCGGAAUUACUGGGCGUAAAGCGUGCGCAGGCGGUUUUGUAAGCCAGAUGUGAAAUCCCCGGGCUUAACCCUGGGAAUGGCAUUUGGGACUGCAAGGCUUGAGUGCGGCAGAGGAGACUAGAAUCCUGGUGUAGCAGUGAAAUGCGUAGAUAUCCGGAGGAACACCGGUGGCGAAGGCGGCUCCUGGACCGACACUGACGCUGAGGCGCGAAGCUAGGG
rnacentral:rRNA from 1 species